GGCUCGGUAGCGAAGGGUCCGCGUCUGCUUCCAAUAGUUCGCCAUUGAAGCGGUACAGCAGGAGAAGCCUGUUCGACUCAGGCCCGAGCCG